AACCUUCACAAUGUGCGAAAGCGCGAUGAGGGGAUCCCAAGUGCUUGCUCGUAAGAGUAAGCUGUUUUUAUGUCUAAAACGCAUAGAGAGUAAGGGCUGGGUAAGACGGGUGCCAGCCGCCGCGGUAAUACCUGCAGCUCAAGUGGUGACCGCUAUUAUUGGGCCUAAAACAUUCGUAGCCGGUUUGGUAAAUGCCUGGGUAAAUCGUAUAGCUUAACUAUACGAAUUCCGGGUAGACUGCCAAACUUGAGACCGGGAGAAGCUAGAGGUACUCCUUGGGUAGAGGUGAAAUUCUGUAAUCCUAGGGGGACCACCAGUGGCGAAGGCGUCUAGCUAGAACGGGUUUGACGGUGAGGAAUGAAGCCCUGGGGCGCAAACCGGAUUAGAUACCCGGGUAGUCCAGGGUGUAAACGCUGCUUGCUUGAUGUUAGUUGGGCUCCGAGCCCAAUUAGUGUCGGAGAGAAGUUGUUAAGCAAGCUGCCUGGGAAGUACGAUCGCAAGAU
rnacentral:rRNA from 1 species